rnacentral:lncRNA from 1 species
UUUAAAAUUCUGAAUUUUAUUUUCUAUUUUAUGUGUAUACCUUGCAUACAUAUGGGCUACUAACUCACACUCUUUGUUUACUUUAAUACGAUUUUUUUUUCUUUUGGUUUAAAAAGUAAAAAAACAAUUAUGAAUAUUUAUCUUCCUUUUGUAGUGCCAUCACUAAAACCUAUAUUUCAUCUAAUGUUGGUGACAGCAUAGCAGUAUCAUAUGGUUUUGAAACCAUUUACAUUCAGUGAUCAUGUGCAAGAGCAUGGAACAAUCCUAGACUAGUACCAUCCUAGGAUUUUUCAUUCUAGGCCCAAAAUCAACACCAAAACCCUUCCAAUGUAUUGGAUUGCAAUUGCAAAUAAAGUGGAGAGAAAUAUAGCCCUGAUGAGCUUCUCCAUACAUUGUAGAUUCUAUUAUUUUUAUUUAUUUAUUACAUUUCCAGCUGAAACCUGAGGUUGACAAAUUCUUCUGAUUUUAACACUCUUUUUUUGCUUUUGCUGGGGGCUGCUGGGCCGCAAUGGAUCACAUCAAUCAGCUGAGCGAUCAAGAGGAUCUUAUUGUAUGGAUGCGUACUGCAGCACUCCCUAGCUUCCGAAAGUUAUAUGGAAGAAUUGAAGAGGAUAUAGAUGCAGAUGAUGUUAUUGUUGUUCACCUCAGUAACAACUACAACACGUACAGUUUUGGUGGGAAGAAAAAGCUUGUUCUUUCCACAUCCUCUUGGUUGGGAGGAAAGAAUAACUUCCUUGGGAUAGCAUACAUUUUUGUUGGUUCUUCCUGUAUAUUCACGUCAAUUGUCUUCAUGUUGCUUCAUGUGAAAAACCCGAGGUAAAACUUCAUAUGUCCAGUAUGAAUGAUUGAAUUCCUCCCUUAUUCGUCUUUUGUUGCAUGAAAUUUAAAUACCAUAAAGAAAGUGCUGUUGACUAAUGUAAAAGGAACUUUAUAGGAAUGAGGACUCCCCCUCACCAGUGCCUAAGUUCUUAUUAGGUUAUUUGAUUGGGUGAAUUUUCAAAUGGCAAGCAUGGUCCACGAUGCAUUGUUAAUAGGGCUGUAACUUGGACUGGUUAAGGGUUAUUUGAUUGAAGCUCAACUUAAAUUAAAAAACAAUCAAUCUAUGUUCAACUCGAUCCGAAAGCUUAAUCGAACUUCAUUUUUCAAAACUAAGCUUGAGUCUGGAUUGAUUAAAUUAGACUUGGAUUUAUAGGAUUGUAUGAUUUGGAAUCCAUUUAUAAUGUUUUUUUUUUUUAAUUUUUUUUAAUUAUAUUUAUAUUCAAAUUUAAAUAAUAAAUGAGACAAAAUUUAAUAAAAUAGUAAAAAUAAAUUUAUAUAUAUUUUAAAAAAUAAAAAUAGGGUAAAAUAUUUGAAAAUAAUUAUAAUAUUAUUAAUUUGUAAGGGUUAAUUUCAUUGUCUCCCAUGAUAUUGAAAUAAAUAUAUUUAAUUUCUAUUAGUUUGAAAUUUCUUGAAGGCAUACCUACCCUUCUUAUUUGUUAUACCUCCCUUUUAAUUUAAAAUUAGGAAACUGAUUAAAUAUAUUUAAUCCAAAUUUUAUAGGAGUUGAGUGAAAUUUAUCUUAAUUUGUGAUGAAUUAUUAUUAUUUUAUUAUUUUCAUUUCUUAUUUUUUAAAAAUAAAAAUAAUUAUUAUUUAGCAUACUAUGAUUUGAAUAUUAUUUGAAUGGAUGCAUUAAUAUUUUUAAAUUUCACUUCUUAAUAUUAUAUAAAAAAAACAUUCUAAUUAAAUACUGUUAUAUUAUUUAAACAUUGUUAAAAGCUGCUUGAAGUGAUUAUUGUAAAAAUGCUUUUGAUCAUUUGAAUUAUACUAACAAAUAUUAGAGUUUAUUUAAAAAAUUUAUCAUUGAUCCCCGACAUUGUUGGACUCUUCUUCUUUUCUUUUUCGGAUUUUGUUUUUCUCAAUCUAGACAAAAAUGCAUAUGAUAAUAGAAAAAUAGAUAUAAAUUUUAGAAUUAAUACAUUUUUUUUCCCACAAAAAGAUAAUUAAUUUGAAAAUAAUUAAAUUUAAUAUUUUAUCCUAAAAAUAUUUUUGUAUCCAUCAAAUUAAUCUUUGCAUCCAUCCUAUUUACGCAUCUACUUAAAAAUAAUAAUUUUAUUAAUACAUUCACUUACAAUUUUAAAAGUAUUUAAAACAUCCUUCCAUUAUUCUUUUCCAUACUCUUCUUCUUCUCCUUCUUCCUUCUAUUUGCAACUAAUUUUCAACUACAAAUUAGAAGAAAAAAAUUAUGUUCUUUGAAGCUCAUUUGAUAAAAAAAAGGUAUUCGAAGUAUGUUCAUAGCCAAUUUUAUUUAUUUAUUUAUUUUUAUACAUUUUGUUUGAAUCCAUAUAAUAUAUCACAAAAAGAUCUUUUAAGAUUUAUUGUUUUGUCAUUUUUAACAUAAAACUUGUCGUAAAAAUAGUUGAAAAACAGUUAGGAGAAGUUUAGAAAUGAUUUUAAAGUAAGAAAUUAUGAAAAAGUGUGAUAGAAAUGGUUAAAAAAAAAAAAAAAAACCAUUCCAUAGUCAUUGGACUUGAAAGGUCAAAUAGUGUGGAAAGGUGUGGACCAAAAGUCUAGGUAUCGAAAAAAUGUUAAUAAAAAUAUUUAGACAUAAUAAAAAUAUUCUGACAUAUAAAGUAAGAUAAUUUGAUUAAUUUCAAUUAUUUGGCAAAUGAUACAUCCGAAACUAUUAGAUAUUUAUAAAAUACCCAACUUAUAAUGAACACCAUUUCCAAGGCAUUUUUCAAUUUUAACAAAUGUGAAAUACAAAAAUUAUUAUAAAACAGAUGAAUUUUAGUACUUUCAUUGCAGAUAAAGUUAUUUUCUUUAUCGAUGGAUGAGAAACACAACUUUCUUGAUCAAUUUUAUUAGGAUAAUAGAGAAAUUAGAAGAGAAGUUACAAAAGAAGAAAAGAGUAGUUUAAAGGACAAUUUUAUCCUAAAAACUUAUUAAAAGGGUGGACGAAAAAGACUAGCUUUAUGGAUACAAAUAUAAUUUCCCACUUCUGACACAUAUUUUUUGGCAUUAGCUUACAUUUUAGGGGUAUCCUCCCAUACUCAUGCAGUCCACAAGACCUGGUCAAACCAUUAAUUAAUGGUCUAUAUUUCGAAGAACCCCACGAGAUCUUUCUCUCCAGUUCCCCCUAUAUCACAUCAGCCAGCCUCUUCUCCUCCCAUCUCUCGAUCUGUUAAAAUCUUUGUAUAUAGAAACCAAUUAACAGAAGCUUUUUCUUCCAACAGGAAUGGAAAAAUAAGAGAGAUACAUGAAAAAUUGGGCUGAGAUUGCACCAGCCCUUCUCGUGUCUCUCCAAAAGUCUUCCAAUCCUCCUCCUAAGUUAGAGACCAUUGAAGAAGAGGGUGGUUCUCGAAGCUUGGAAACCAUGCACAAGCGCACAACGUUUCUUCUUCCUUUGAUAGUCUCCAUGGUUUUCUAUUUUUUGUUAUACAAAGAAGUGAAUUGGUGUAGAAAAUUUUUCCAUGAGAGGUGAGAAAGCUCUAUUUACUAUUUAGCUACUUGAAGGUUGGAGAUGGAGAAUGUUAAUAAUCAAUACCUAAAUCCUCAAGGUGAUCUUAUCCCAUUUAUUGUAACCAAUAUUAUGAAUUUUGUUUCAAAAGUAUUUUUCAAGAAUUUUACCAUUAUACCUUUUGCCCCCUCUUGUCCUCCCUCUUUAAAGGUCAUAUGGUUCGAUGGUAUUAAGAUGACGUUUGAUGAAACCUAAUAUUUAAUAUGUAAAAUUAAAUUAUACUGAGUUUAUAAGGUCAUCUUAAGUUAUUAAGUUGAUUUGUUAAAGUCAUUUUUAAUUUUAAAUUAUAGAAUUAAGGUAUUUUGUUAAAUAUGUUUAAUUUACUUUGAUUGUAUUUUGUUAUUGAAAAGUAUUAGGGGAAAAAUAUUAAGGAACAUAAUUUUCUUAUAAUUAGUUUUGUUAUGAAAAAUACAAAACAAAAAAGAAAAAUAGUUAAAAUUUCAUGUAUUUUUAAAUUAUUUAAUUUUUAUAUAAAAGAGGAAAAAUAAGUAAAACUAUUAAAAUAAUUUAUUAACUUUUAAAUCUAUUUUUUAUUAUUUAUCUUCACUUUUUUUUUUCUCUCUAAUUUUUCUUUCUAUUGUCUUUCCCUUUCCUUUUCCCAUAAAUUUUCUAAGAACUAUAUAUAGUUUUAUAGACAAAAUAGGAUAUGAGAGGAUGUAUAUAUCCUAAAAUAUCAUAUCUAAUUGAAUCAUUGAAUAUAAAAUACAUAUCUUAAGAUAUAAUUUUUAAUGAGAUACGAUAUUAUAAAUUAGCAUAUUCAAUGAGAUAUGUUAUAUUGUAUUUAUUUUUUUUAAAAAAAUAUUAUAUAUAUAUAUAUAUAUAUAUAUAUAUAUAUAUAUUAUUUUUCAAAGUUUAAAAUAUUAAUUAUAUUAUAUUUCAAUUUUUUUAUUUAAAAAAAAUGAAAUUUCUCUUACAUUUAACAAUAUUCACGAUUUAAAAUAUUUAAACUUUAUAGUAUGUUAUUCAAAAUAAUAUAUAUAUAUAUAUAUAUAUAUAUAUAUAUAUAUAUAUAUAUAUAUAUAUAUAUAUAUAUAUAUAUAUGUAACAAGUAUUAAAGUGUGUUUAAUAAUGAUUCUAAAAAGUGUUUCUAACUUAUAUUACUUGAAAAUUUUCAUCAUUUAAGUAUUAAAAAAAUAUUAAAAACACUUCUUAUAAUCAUUACUAAACGUACUCUUAAUCUUGUUCUAUAAUAUAUUUAAUAAAUAUUUUUUUUAGUUGUUCUUUUUUAAUCAUAAAUUUAAUUUUAUAAUAAAAAACUUUUAUUUUACAAACAAGUAAUAUAGAAAAAAAAAAUUGAAAAAAAAAUAAAUUUAUAAUACAUAAGAUAUUUAUGUUCUAUAUGUGAAAAUGAUAUAAAAAAGAGGAUGAAUGAUAUAUCACAUCACUUAUCUUAUCGUAUUUGAUUGAAUAUAAGAUAAAAUAAGUGAUGAGAUAACCUAUCCUAUCUCAUCACCAACCAAAUAUGAAAUAUGAUAUAAUAUUCUCUUUUUUAUAAUAUUUCAUACUAUAUUCAAUCAAUCAAAUAUGAUUUUAAUGAUCCUAUACUUAAAAAAUAUUUUUGAAGAAAAAUAAGAUGUUUGGAAAAAUUUAGGAUAUACUUUAAAAAAUUUGAAAAUUUAGUUGUAAUCUUGAAAAAUCUUUAGAUUUCUUAUUCUUGUUGUCUUCUCGGCACAAGCAUGAACUAAUAUUCUAACCCAUGAUUUUUCAUUGGAGAGGAGAAAUAAAUUCUAACAAUUGUUUUAUCAACAAAGCUUAUUUACCUACUUGGAAUUGGAAUACCUCUGCAUCCUAAUACAUCAUUGCCUCACACCUCAAACAGAUGGGGCUUUUGUUCACUUUCUAAGUCCAAUCUUUCCUUCUUUCAAUGCAAACAAAGAAGGUAAAAAAAAGAAAAAAAAUCAAACUAGAAGAAACUGAACUCUGGGCAUUCCAACUUCUCUUUACAUUCCUACCGAGAAAGAGGGAGAGCAGAGCAUGUCUUACAUGCAAUUCAACCUGAAGACAAACAAGUCCCACACCCAACUUCACCCUCAAAUUCUUGUGAUUCACCACCCACCUCAUGGCCUCUGGCAUUUCUGUUCUCUGCGGGCAAUUCAAUGUUGACACGCCCUCCACUUUCAGUCCCCUAAUACAAUUACUUUCACCAUAACAUCAAACCAGUCAUUUCAUCAAACACCAUUUCUAUACAACAACAAAAAAGACACUAAAGAAACAAGCACUGGAAGAAGAAACAACACCACCACCACCCUUGUCUUCAGAUCAUCCAAUCCCUCCGACCCUUCUUCCAAAAUGGUCUCUAACUUUGGACAAUUUGAAGAUCUCACCGGACAUAUCAACAGGGACGGUGCCACUUCCACCCAAUUCUCCACACAUCUCAUUCUCAGCUGCUUUGCCAUCUCAGCUAGUUUGAUCUUCAAGACCCUCUUGCAGAGAAAUAAUGGAGUUGGUAUAGAGAAAAUGGUGAUUUAAAGAUUACUGAGUGGUGACGGGCUUAUGGUGGGUGGCCUAAAUUUAUAGGAGAGGUGGUUGGGCAAUGGGCGAUAGAAAGUAGGCCACGUGAGUAACAUUUGAAAAUGUCUCGUAGCAGAUCACUAUACGGGUUGUUCAAGGGACAGCAGAGCAACAGAAUUGCAACUUCACGUGGCCCAAAGAAGGAGCGCACGUGGAUGGGGUGGUGCACGGGGUUUGGUCACAGCCUCACUGGUCUAUUUGGGAAGACACC